rnacentral:rRNA from 1 species
AUGCAAUACUACUUCGCGGAGAAUCCAACAUAUCCACCGCACCUCUUCCGGAGAAGGUACCGAAUGCGCCAAUCUGUCUUUGUGAAAAUUGUUCAAGCUUGCGAGGCAAAUUGUCGGUAUUUUACUCAAAGAAGAAAUGCUGCGGGCUUAAAGGGAUUUAGUGCAUAUCAGAAAAUCUCCGCAGCAAUGCGGGUGAUUGCAUAUGGCGUUCCAGCUGACUAUGCCGAUGAGUACCUUCGCAUUGGUGAAGAUACUAUUGGAAAUAUGCCCUAG